UACGUAGGGUGCAAGCGUUGUCCGGAAUUAUUGGGCGUAAAGAGCUCGUAGGCGGCUUGUCGCGUCGACUGUGAAAACCCGCGGCUCAACUGCGGGCUUGCAGUCGAUACGGGCAGGCUAGAGUUCGGUAGGGGAGACUGGAAUUCCUGGUGUAGCGGUGAAAUGCGUAGAUAUCAAGAGGAACACCUGAGGUGAAGACGGGUUGCUGGGCUGACACUGACGCUGAGGCGCGAAAGCCAGGGAGCAAACGGG
rnacentral:rRNA from 1 species